rnacentral:rRNA from 1 species
GUAGGGAGCAAGCGUUGUUCGGAAUUAUUGGGCGUAAAGAGCGCGUAGGCGGCUAGGGCAAGUCCGGUGUGAAAUCCCACAGCUCAACUGUGGAACUGCAUUGGAAACUUCCUAGCUGGAGUGCGGGAGAGGAGAGUGGAAUUCCCAGUGUAGAGGUGAAAUUCGUAGAUAUUGGGAGGAACACCGGUGGCGAAGGCGGCUCUCUGGACCGCAACUGACGCUGAGGCGCGAAAGCUAGGGGAGCGAACGGGAUUAGAUACCCCGGUAGUCCUAGCCGUAAACGAUGGGCACUAGGUGUGGGAGGUAUCGACCCCUUCUGUGCCGCAGCUAACGCAUUAAGUGCCCCGCCUGGGGAGUACGGUCGCAAAGACUAA